rnacentral:rRNA from 1 species
UUUCUUUUAUUCGUAUUAACAGCUACUCUAGGGGGGAUGUUUUGUGGUGUUAACGAUUUAAUAACUAUCUUUGUAACUCUAGAAUGUUUCAGUUUAUGUUCCUACCUAUUGUCUGGAUAUACCAAGAGGGAUCUACGGUCUAAUGAGGCUACUAUGAAAUAUUUACUCAUGGGUGGGGCAAUCUCUUCUAUUCUGAUUCAUGGUUUCUCUUAACUAUAUGGUUCAUCUGGGGAGAUUGAGCUUCAAGAAAUUGUGAACGGUCUUAUCAAUACACAAAUGUAUAACUCCCCAGGGAUUUCAAUUGCGCUUAUAUCCAUCACUGUAGGACUUGGAUUUAAGCUUUCCCCAGUCCCUUUUCAUCAAUGGACUCCUGAUGUCUACGAAGACACCCCAACUCCAGUCGUUGCUUUUCUUUCUGUUACUUCAAAAGUAGCUGCUUCAGCUUCAGCCACACAAAUUCUCGAUAUUCCUUUUUGUUUGUCAUCAAAGGAACAUCUUCUUCAAGAAAUCCUAACUAUUCUUAGCAUGAUUUUGGGGAAUCUCCUUACUAUUACUCAAACAAGCAUGAAACGUAUGCUUGCAUAUUCGUCCAUAGGGAAAAUUGAAUAUGUAAUUAUUGGAAUAAUUGUUGGAGACUCAAAUGAUGGAUAUGCAAGCAUGAUAACUUAUAUGUUGUUCUAUAUCUCUAUGAAUCUAGGAACUUUUCCUUGCAUUGUAUUAUUUGGUCUACGUACCGGAACUGAUAACAUUUGAGAUUAUGCAGGAUUAUACACGAAAGAUCUUUUUUUGGCUCUCUCUUUAGCCCUAUGUCUCUUAUCCCUAGGAGGCCUUCCUCCACUAGCAGGUUUCUUCAGAAAACUUUAUCUACUCUGGUGUGGAUGGCAAGCAAUCCUAUAUUUCUUGGAUUCAAUAGAACUCCUUACGAGCAUUCUUUCUAUCUAUUAUUAUCUAAUCAACUUAUUAAUGACGGGACGAAACCAAGAAAUAACCCCUUAUGGGCGAAAUUAUAGAAGAUCCCCUUUAAGAUAAAACAAUUACAUCGAAUUGAGUAUGACUGUAUGUGUGAUAGCAUCUAGUAUAUCAGAAAUAUCAAUGAACCCAUUCUUGCAAGUCCUCAGGAUACCCUAUUUUUAG